rnacentral:rRNA from 1 species
CGAGGGGCAGCGGGGUAGUGCUUGCACUACUGCCGGCGACCGGCGCACGGGUGAGUAACACGUAUGGAACCUGCCCGCAGCAGGGGGAUAAGCGGAAGAAAUUCCGCCUAAUACCGCGUAAGAACGUUGGGAGGCAUCUCCCGAUGUUUAAAGAUUUAUCGGCUGCGGAUGGCCAUGCGGCGCAUUAGCUAGUCGGCGGGGUAACGGCCCACCGAGGCGACGAUGCGUAGGGGUUCUGAGAGGAAGGUCCCCCACACUGGUACUGAGACACGGACCAGACUCCUACGGGAGGCAGCAGUGAGGAAUAUUGGUCAAUGGCCGAGAGGCUGAACCAGCCAAGUCGCGUGAGGGAAGACGGCCCUACGGGUUGUAAACCUCUUUUGUCGGGGAGCAAAGCGAACCACGUGUGGUUCAUUGAGAGUACCCGAAGAAAAAGCAUCGGCUAACUCCGUGCCAGCAGCCGCGGUAAUACGGAGGAUGCGAGCGUUAUCCGGAUUUAUUGGGUUUAAAGGGUGCGCAGGCGGAGGUGCAAGUCAGCGGUCAAAUUGCGGGGCUCAACCCCGUACUGCCGUUGAAACUGCAUCCCUUGAGUGCGCGAGAAGUAUGCGGAAUGCGUGGUGUAGCGGUGAAAUGCAUAGAUAUCACGCAGAACUCCGAUUGCGAAGGCAGCAUACCGGCGCGCAACUGACGCUCAUGCACGAAAGCGUGGGUAUCGAACAGGAUUAGAUACCCUGGUAGUCCACGCAGUAAACGAUGAACACUAACUGUUCGGCCAGAAUGAUGGCUGAGUGGUACAGCGAAAGCGUUAAGUGUUCCACCUGGGGAGUACGCCGGCAACGGUGAAACUCAAAGGAAUUGACGGGGGCCCGCACAAGCGGAGGAACAUGUGGUUUAAUUCGAUGAUACGCGAGGAACCUUACCCGGGCUCAAACGACACAGGAAUACUUUUGAAAGGAGGUAGCCCUACGGGGUCUGUGUCGAGGUGCUGCAUGGUUGUCGUCAGCUCGUGCCGUGAGGUGUCGGCUUAAGUGCCAUAACGAGCGCAACCCCUAUCGCCAGUUACCAUCAAGUAAAGUUGGGGACUCUGGCGAGACUGCCGGCGCAAGCUGAGAGGAAGGCGGGGAUGACGUCAAAUCAGCACGGCCCUUACGUCCGGGGCGACACACGUGUUACAAUGGCAGGUACAGAGAGAAGCCAGGUGGUGACACCGAGCGGAACUCGAAAGCCUGUCUCAGUUCGGAUCGGAGUCUGCAACCCGACUCCGUGAAGCUGGAUUCGCUAGUA